rnacentral:lncRNA from 1 species
AUACAACAGUAUACAAUUAUGGCCCGUUGAAGAGGUGAAUAUCCAAAAUUGUCAACACGAGAAGGUUAUUUCAUUGAGGGCGCAGCCCGAAGUGAAAUAACUUUUGAGGGUUGACAAUUUUGGAUAUUCAUCGAUUCUAAGGGGCCACAAUUGUUUUAUUAUACCGAACUAACAGUGGAAGUGCAUUUCGAACACAGACUGACGUUUGAAAAUACAUUUGUGUUCGAUUUUCUCGAAUAUACAACAAAAGUAGAAUCUUUUUGUAAAAUAUUGAUGGCCCUGAAAAGGACCGUUUAUAAGAGACAUCAUCGGCUGCUGCCACUCUCAGCUCUAUCUAUGUCCAAUGCCGUAUUUCCUCGUCUCUCGAUGGGCUUCCAGUGUAACGUGAACGCUGCCAUUUUGUUUAUUUACGUUUGUGACGUCAUUUUUAUGGGAGGUAACUCAAGUACAAAUAAACAAACUCAAAAGGUUAUUCACCGGUGAAUAAUAGGGUUAUUCACUGCUGGUGUAAAUUCUUUAGGGUUAUUCGUCCUUCCUUCAAUUGAAUGAAAAUUAAC